rnacentral:rRNA from 1 species
GAUGAACGCUGGCGGCGUGCCUAAUACAUGCAAGUCGAGCGAACAGACGAGGAGCUUGCUCCUCUGACGUUAGCGGCGGACGGGUGAGUAACACGUGGAUAACCUACCUAUAAGACUGGGAUAACUUCGGGAAACCGGAGCUAAUACCGGAUAAUAUAUUGAACCGCAUGGUUCAAUAGUGAAAGACGGUUUUGCUGUCACUUCUAGAUGGAUCCGCGCCGCAUUAGCUAGUUGGUAAGGUAACGGCUUACCAAGGCAACGAUGGGUAGCCGACGUGAGAGGGGGAUAGGCGACACUGGAAGUGAGACGCGGUCCAGACUCCUACGGGAGGCAGCAGUAGGGAAUCGUCCGCAAUGGGCGGAAGCCUGACGGAGCGACGCCGCGUGAGUGAUGAAGGUCUUCGGAUCGUAAAACUCUGUUAUUGGGGAAGAACAAAUGUGUAAGUAACUAUGCACGUCUUGACGGUACCUGAUCAGAAAGCAACGGCUAACUACGUG